rnacentral:rRNA from 1 species
GCUUUAUGCUUUAGUGGCGAACGGGUGCGUAAUACGUGAGAAUCUGCCCUUAGGAGGAGAAUAACUUCUGGAAACGGUUGCUAAGUCUCCAUAUGCCGAGAGGUAAAAUAGUUUACACUGCCUAGGGAUGAGCUCACGCCUGAUUAGCUUGUUGGUAAGGUAAUGGCUUACCAAGGCCACGAUCAGUAGCUGGUUUGAGAGAACGAUCAGCCACACUGGGACUGAGACACGGCCCAGACUCCUCCGGGAGGCAGCAGUGAGGAAUUUUCCGCAAUGGGCGAAAGCCUGACGGAGCAAUACCGCGUGAGGGAUGAAGGAUUUUGGUCUGUAAACCUCUUUUCUCAAGAAAGAAGUUCUGACGGUACUUGAGGAAUAAGCAUCGGCUAACUCCGUGCCAGCAGCCGCGGUAAUACGGGGGAUGCAAGCGUUAUCCGGAUUUAUUGGGCGUAAAGCGCCUGUAGGUUGUUUAAUAAGUCUGUUGUUAAAGACUAGGGCUUAACCCUA